rnacentral:lncRNA from 1 species
UUAGCAAUAAAAAUAAUCAAGAUAUUGAAGAUGAUGAUGAUGAGGAAUAUCAACUAUUAAGUAUGAACAGAAAAGCUUCAAGAAAGAAGAAGAUUGCAAAAGACCUUGGAAUAUAAGAAGGUAAAUCUUCAUUAAAUGAAAGAAGAUGUUAUUUGAGAGAUAGAAAAAAACUUAGUGAAUGAUAGAAGGAUUAUAUCUUUUUUCAAGUAAAUAUAAAACAUGCCAAUGUUACACUCUUUUUUAAUUAAUUGAACUUGUGUAAUGUAUUGAAGUCCACAGAU